rnacentral:rRNA from 1 species
GACGAACGCUGGCGGCGCGCUUAACACAUGCAAGUCGAGCGAGAACCAGUCCUGGGACUGGGACGAGCGGCGAACGGGUGAGUAACACGUGAGUAAUCCACCCUCGGUUCCGGAAUAGCCCGGGGAAACCCGGAUUAAUGCCGGAUGGCCCAUUUUCCUUUCGGGGAAACUGGAAAAGGUAGCUUUGGCCUCCGACCGAGGACGAGCUCGCGGCGGAUUAGCUUGUUGGCGGGGUAACGGCCCACCAAGGCGACGAUCCGUAGC